rnacentral:rRNA from 1 species
GCAGCAGUGGGGAAUAUUGCACAAUGGGCGCAAGCCUGAUGCAGCCAUGCCGCGUGUAUGAAGAAGGCCUUCGGGUUGUAAAGUACUUUCAGCGGGGAGGAAGGGAGUAAAGUUAAUACCUUUGCUCAUUGACGUUACCCGCAGAAGAAGCACCGGCUAACUCCGUGCCAGCAGCCGCGGUAAUACGGAGGGUGCAAGCGUUAAUCGGAAUUACUGGGCGUAAAGCGCACGCAGGCGGUUUGUUAAGUCAGAUGUGAAAUCCCCGGGCUCAACCUGGGAACUGCAUCUGAUACUGGCAAGCUUGAGUCUCGUAGAGGGGGGUAGAAUUCCAGGUGUAGCGGUGAAAUGCGUAGAGAUCUGGAGGAAUACCGGUGGCGAAGGCGGCCCCCUGGACGAAGACUGACGCUCAGGUGCGAAAGCGUGGGGAGCAAACAGGAUU